CGAUGCUUGUCAUAUAUAGUCACUUAGACAAGGUAUAGUAUAUUGGUUCUAGUUGAGCAAUAUAGUUAGACUUUUGGAAUGUAAGAAAUAUGUAGAGUUAUGGUUUUGCACCAUUUUAACCCUAAGUUUUAAGUUUACUUCAUGGUGAAGAAAGAGGGUAAAUUAGUAAUUUUACUUUAGUUUUGUCUUUAGUGAGGGAGUGGACUUUGUAAUAAAUCCUAUGUUUAUUUGAUUAAUGUUAGGCUGAAUUAAUUAAGCCAUUAUCUCUUAUGUCACUAAACAAAAAAAUAAAAAUAAAAAACAAAGUUAGAAUCCAAACCUCUUUCUCUCUCUCUCUCUUGUUCGACCAUAGAAGCAACCAAGGGAAGCUCAACAUUUUCCACCAAUUUAAAAAUGAUUUGAGGUGAAUUGAGCUUAGAAAAUUCAAGGGUUUGAUAGUUAAAGUUAAGGAAAGUCUUUUCCCUUUGUUUUCUUUAUUACAAAGUAAGGUUUCAUGCAUGAAUUUUAGGAUUUUAGUUUCUGUACGAACUGGUUGUUUAGGGUUUGUUUUGCUGGGUUCUUUUAUGGUUAAUUAAGUUAAUUCAUGCUGGUUUUGAUGGCUUGGUUGGAGGUUAAGCAUGUGUUGAGCUUUUAAGCUCAAACUUAGGUCAUUUAUAGUGAAAUUUAGUACAGUUGCUUGAUGAUAAAUUUUUUGGUUGGAUUAAGCUAUGUAUUGCUUGUUUAGGUGUUUUGGAGCUUUCAGUGUGAUUUGGGGUUGAAUUCUAGGAUAAAUGAGAUUUUAUGUGUUUUGCAAUAAAAAAUAGCAGCCCCUUUUUCCAGAAACGGUCUACUAUUUUUAGCUGCCAGAGACCCAAAAAAACAACCCCCAAUUUAGGAAAUAACCUACCAUUUUUUAUGGUAUUUUCCCUGAGAAUAUCAUUUGUUAGUGUUUUCUCAAUCUUUAGUGUAUUGUCAUGUUAUCUAUUGAUAGGGAAACUUUUAGUUUUGAGUCUAAGUUCCCAAAAAGUGAUUUAGCGUAUUAUUACUUCAGGGCCUAUAAACCGUCGAGAAGUAGUUUCCACUCAAGUUGAUCGACACAAUUGAAUUUAGAAUCAUGGUAAAGGUAAGGUUGAACAACAGUGAGUACGAGCAGAUGGGGAUUAUACAUAUCGGAGCAGUUAGACCUGGAGUGUUCAAUCUUCAAGACAAUAUGCUUCAUUUUGAUAGUCUCUAGGAAUCAACUUUUGUAACUAAGCAUUUUGUCAAACAAAUUAUAAUAUUGAAAUGGGAUCCCAAAUUAUGGAAAGUAUUUAUUUAUUCAA